ACGGCGCUCUCUUCACCGUGUCGACUCAUCUCUCAGGUACUAACUUCAGUAAGGCUGCCUAACAUUUUGACAGAUCAUCUACCCUCUGGAAAUGGAAGAGUGCAUGAACCUAACUGGAUUGGAAAUCUCUCUGGUUUCCAUGUAUGCUGUCUUCGACGGGAACAAAAAUGAAAAUGGAAAAAUGGACAAGGAUACUUUUUUGAGAGUGUUGAAGGAGGAACUGCCUUUCUUUGCGCAAGUGGCAGCUAAGAACAAUUGUGACAUGUUCAGCAAAGUGGACCUUGACAACGACGGGUUCGUGGACUUUGAAGAGUUCUCCAAAAUGGUUUGCGGUUGUGCUUGUGCCAGCCAUGACACUUUGGAGGAAGCCCAAAAAAAACAUGAGCAGGAGAAGAAAUAAAACAAAUGACCGUUUAUGAACAUGGCUAAUACUUUUUCAGUACUUUCUGACAAAUGUGAUUUCACCUUACAAUAAUAAAAGUGUUUUUGUUCCAGUAUUA